AACGAACGCUGGCGGCAUGCCUAACACAUGCAAGUCGAACGAGACCUUCGGGUCUAGUGGCGCACGGGUGCGUAACGCGUGGGAACCUGCCCUUAGGUUCGGAAUAACUCUCCGAAAGGGGUGCUAAUACCGGAUAAUGUCUUCGGACCAAAGAUUUAUCGCCUUUGGAUGGGCCCGCGUUGGAUUAGCUAGUUGGUAGGGUAAAAGCCUACCAAGGCGACGAUCCAUAGCUGGUCUGAGAGGAUGAUCAGCCACACUGGGACUGAGACACAGCCCAGACUCCUACGGAAGGCAGCAGUGGGGAAUAUUGGACAAUGGACGAAAGCCUGAUCCAGCAAUGCCGCGUGAGCGAUGAAGGCCGUAGAGUUGUAAAGCUCUUUUACCCGGGAUGAUAAUGACAGUACCGGGAGAAUAAGCUCCGGCUAACUCCGUG
rnacentral:rRNA from 1 species